UAUUGUUGUUACAUCAUCAAUUUUUACUGCUUAUAAAGUCAAGGGUUUUUAAGACCAAGUUGACACCCACUAGACUCAAGAAAAGUCGUUAAGGGUGACCCUUUUUCCUAAUGAAACAUGACAUUCGGUAUUUUUGAAAUUUGUGUUAAAAUUCCGAUCCUUGAUCACNGUUUAGUCUAGUGCUUUUCAAAAACAUCGUUAAUAAUCAUGUCGGGCAAGUGACAUUUACUAAGCCUUGGUAGGAUGGCUCCAGUAAGCCUCUGUUGACAUGCUAAAGCUUGCUUUUAUGACAAUGUCACUCCGUUAGCUGGACUACAGAUGAUUAAUUGUUUCGUUGAUAUUAAAUAAGACUGCUAGAAUAACGCGAAUCUUGCUGAGGCAUUUGUUGGGUAACUCUCUCCUGACGCCGUAGUGACUCCAAGNACGUUAAGACAUCUCAGGAGNGUCNNUAUUUCGACGAGAACUAACCUCAUUGCAGUCAAUCGUAUCCUUUAAUACUUUCAAUUUCUUUGAUUUUGUUUUUUUGUUGAGCACGUAGAANUUUAUAGCAGUCAGUUUAGAAUAUGCUUCGUAAAUAGUCGAUCUUUCUGGCGGGUAGGCACGGUGACCUGACUGAAGCUACACACUGUUCGAUUGCUUCUCUCUUUACAAGAAGUACAAAACUUACAGAAAUUUCAAAAAAUGCUGCAUUUUACGAAGAACAAUUCUAUGAAACUCCAAAAGCUUCCCUUUUUCUCGCAAAAUGCUUUCCAAUGCCUAAAAUGCUACUUUUUAGACGAGAUUGUUGAACAGUUAUGGCAAGUUUUGGAGCGCGCCCGCGCAACUUUCGUAAGGUAAAUUCACCUUUAGCUUUCGUGAAAUUCUUGUUCUGACGUGAAAACCAAGAUAAUUGAAAAAGGGAGGCAGAUCUGACGAUGAUUCCAGGGCAUUCAGAUGAGUUGUGAGAGCCAAAGGGCAAAUUUGGGUUAACANUGUUGAACUUUCUUGUACUGCCAAAAAUUCCAAAAUAGCGUCAAGAAAAAGAUGUCACGGUAUACAACAGUCAUGACCGCUAAUUUCAAGUCUUGUCAGCUGUAAUUCGACAGUAAAAUAAAAACGUGUGAAAAAUAGCGCCUUUUUGAUUGGUGCCGAUUGCUAACAAAGUGAACAUUUUUAUCGCCCUGUAAAAGAUGUCAGUUAAGGAGUUUUCUUGAGCAAGAAGAAAAAACGUCAAGAGACAUCGAACAAGCUACAACAACAAGCAGUUGCUUGAAUUGGAGAAAGAGUUUCACUUUAAUCGCUAUCUUUGUAGUACAAGAAGAC
rnacentral:misc_RNA from 1 species